UGAUAGCACAGACUGAGGCUGCAUGAGCAGACAGAGGGACGGAGAGAAUCGAUGACAGAGGUAGAAAUUAAGAGAGAGGCGAGGAGCAGUAUACAACAGGAUUCCCAUGCAGAUUGUGACAAACGUGCACUUGAAGAAACAGCAGAAGGGUGUAAAGAAAGGAAAUAAAGGAGCAAACUUGCAUCACUGGCCAGCAGGGGAAUAGACACGUCUCUUGUCAGAAGAGGAGAGAAGAAUCCACUUGUAAUAGAGACAACUAGCAGCUGCAAGAACACAGACAAGCAUUUAAAGGCAGACUCCUGUCUCUGUUGGGAAAAGUGAUUCUCCUUUAUGUCUCUCUGCUUGACUGUAUGUCCACAUGCUGUCCCUCCAUCUGUCUCAGCAGAGGUGUCAUUUUGGUGUCUGAGACAAAGAGAAAAGCUGAACAGAUCCUGACGUGUGGUUAAGGAGAGGAGGAAAAAAGUAAAUAAAAAAACAAAAAACAGAGGAGCAUUUACAAGCUUCUGUAAGGAAAAGGGAGGAGAGAGCAGUAUGAGUCAGAGCACAGCAGCCAGAAUGCUGUGUGUAUUCUGCAUGCAAGAGGAGAGGUAGAGGGAGAGGAACAAUGGGAGUGAUAUAGGAAAAAAAUAGAGAGGACUUGAGUGGAAUUGAGCAGUCAUUAGACAGAGGAAGGACCGGAUGAGGACAGAAGCAGCCACAUUGGCAGGCAGUGAGUGAGAAAUAGGCCAAGUGAAUCAGCUUGCUAGAGGGAGAACAAGGCAAGAGGAGGUUGAGUUUAGAAAGUGGAAGAUUUGGUAUGACUGAACUGGGUUGAGGGAAGGUUGAAUGAAGGUUUGCUGCAGGAUGGACAGUGGACAGAAGGGUGGGCUUCAUGGAAAACUGCUCUAGCAGUUACGUGGAGAAAGUCCCCAGUGACUGCGUCUUGCCACGAGGUGAGAACAUUACUGAGAGGGGAGGACAAGCUUCGAGAAGGUUGACCACAGCAAAAGACAGAACGCGUGUGAGAGCAGAGAGGGUUAAAAAAGAGCAAGGCUUACAGAGGUAAGCAACAAAUCAAUCCCUGAAAGGACAGCAAGAGAGGCAACCACUGCAGACCAGAAAGCAUGUCAAUUAACACAUAAUGACAGGGACGUGGAAACUCUAACUGUGAUGGCAGCACAGCAAGAAGUUCCUGUUAAAUAUUGAUGCUUACAGGCCACUCUGAAAGAGCUUGCUUCUUGCACCACAGAGGGGAGGAAAAAAAACACAGCUGAUUUUUUAUUCUGAGGGCUUUUUACAUAGGAAUAGACAAGCUGUUAAGUGCGUCAGACGACAGCUGAGUGUGGUAAAGUUGAGUUGUUGUUACAAAUUAAAACAAGACACACAAAUUAGCCAAGACUCUCCUUCCUGGAGGUUUUCUUCUGACCAGCUGUGCAGUUUCUUGGGGAAAGUGGAGUGGCUACAGAGAGAAGAACUGUACCUGUCUUGUGUGGGAACAACAAGGACAAAGGGAAUUGACAUUUGGGAGCUCACUGAGACCACGUUCAGGGUGACAACAAUUUCUUUUCUAUGAGAACAAGAACCAGCGCUGGCUCAUGAAUACAGAUUUCUUUUUUGGAAUGACCCGCUGUACCUGCUUUGCCAAGCACUCUGAGAUGAUUCCGUGCCAGAGGAGAAAAGUCAAACACUGCUGACGCAUUCGUUGAUGCCUCCUAUUUUCAUAUUUGCCCGGGACUGAGUGUAACUGUUACAUCUGUCUUUGAAAAUGACCUCAUUACAGACAUUUGGCCAGUGGAGAGAUGCUGUUACGGCUUGAGGAAAUAUAAUUGUGGAAAUGUUUUGAUGUGCAUCAACACGAAGGAUCUUUUAAUUGGAAGCAAGAUGUACACUAUGUCUUUUUUUUUCCAUGACUAAAUAAGCCACGAUGGGUGAUUCUCCAACUUGACGUGAUCAAGAAAAACUUCAGUCCGACCUGAGCCAUAGAUUCCUCAAAGCAUCACGACGACAGCACAGGAAGACACAACGCCACAGUCUCCAUUCAGCUGCGGAUAGACCAGCUGCGUGUUUAUGUGUGUGUGUGGCUGUGUGGGGGCGUAUGGACUGUCGGGGAGCUCGGCUGUGUUAGUGCAUAAGCUUGUGUGGGUACGGAGGUGUGUGUGUGUGUGAGUGUGGCGAGCUUUGAACCCAGCUGUGUCUGAGUGUAUUUUCAAAACAUCGCCUGGAGCUGUGUGUGUGUGCGUUCGUGUGUGCGUGUGUGUGUGUGUGCAUUGGGUGGAUUCUCCCCACCAGCGACAGAGCUGGACCUGAACAGCAGUGGUGAGAGGGGGGACAGGGAGGGGGAGAAGGAGGAGGAGGAGGAGAGGAAGGUGAAAGAAACCAGCAGGACGGAGAAGAAGAAAAAACUGACAACAUGCUCGGAUAAAGAGAAGAAAGACAGGAGUUUUUGGCUGCCCCCCUGGUGCAAUGUGUGGCGUCGCGCCCUGUGGGGGUGGGGUUCUGUGAUGGUAACCAUGGUCCCCGGCAGCCGCUAUGUCUGCAGCGCUCACGCAAGAGAGGACGACUCCACGAACGACCGCGAGGAGAGAAUUUUAGCCGUGCUGGGCAUCAUCGGAACCAUCCUCAAUCUUUUAGUGGUCAUAUUUGUCUACAUCUACACCUCCGUCACCUAAGGUUUGCUGAGCGAAAGACGUUGGCACUGUCCCCAACUUUUCUCCACACUGCCACACACCUCUUUAAGUAUUUAUACACAGAGAGGGUUUGAUUAUUCACAGUACGGAGUAAGAUGUGGAGAUCAUUGGCAGCGCGUUCAGCUGGAUAGUAGCCAUAUUUAUCUACACCCGCAUCUCUCAAAGACAGCUUUGCUCUGUUAGCUAAAGACUGCUGCCGAUCAGAGAGGAGGAUCUGCAGGUGGAAUCGUCUGCUCUUCCCUCCACUUUUAAACUGUUUCUCCCCUUUUUUUUAAGACAAAUGACUGCUGACAGUGUGUCUUGUCUCAUAAUGGUGACAUGUCUGCAUAUUCAUAUUAAUCCAUGAUUGGGCCUAGCAUUUCUGUGAUUGCCUAGUCUGCAAGACUCAUUCUCUUAAUAGUCUUUGAAUUGAUGGUGGUUAUAUUGACUGUGCUGCAUCCUCUACUUUGUCACAUGACAUGUAAAAGUGUGCGGUUUCUCUGCGAUCGAGCUCAUUUGUUAGAUUUAAGACAUUAUCACUGCCAGUUACAUUUAUCUAAAUCAUUUAACAAACAAAGCACCUUUGAUUUAACGCUACUGAAGAAUUAAAAUUGACCAAAAAUCUCCUGAGCACCCAUAUUUGAACAGAACAUUAAUAUAAGUAUACAGAUAAUUAUUUCUCACUCACUGCUAAAUAUCAGUUUCCAUAGUCGGUAGAGUCGCUGAAAGAUUUUUACAUGGACCUAACACGUCGACACUUAAGCACACCAGAGGAGAGAUUCCUGGCUGUGCUAGGAGUCAUCGGCAUCGUACUCAACCUCCUGCUGCUAGUUUUCGUCUACAUAUACACCUCCACCUGAUAUGUGUGCCCGAACACAGCAUCAGUUAUGAGAUAAGUUGCCACACCAGAGAGUACCUGUACCUAACAGCCAGGUGUGCCAGUGACCAUAUCUCGUUCUCCCACAACUCCUGUAUAUAUUGUGCCAAAGUUUAUCCAGGUUCACAGCUGAUUUGAGCAUUGUAUGUUAUUCUCAGCAGGUUUCUGUGCCUAAUAAUAUAGUGAUACUCUAAUACUAACAUGGGAACAUGGUGAGCACAAGGUGCUGAGAGAAUUUAGAGGCCAAAAAAGUGAUAUGUGGAGCUUAAGAAAAGGAUGUUUGUUCAAACACUAAUCUACAGUAGAAAUACACGUUACAAACUGUAACUUUGUUGUAUAAAUUUGUGUCUUCCAGCUAGUGUUUGAUGCAGUGCUCUUUCACAUACAUGCAUGAUGAGAGCUUUACUUAAGCUUAUAUUAUUAUAAUCUCUAUCACACUUUGACCAAAAUAUCUGAUGUGAAAGCUGCCAUUUUUACAGUAAUUCUGUUUGUUUUACAUGCUUAUUGAUGUUUAAAACACCCAGAAAUGGAACUAGAUGGUAUCAAUUUUUCAGUCUGUACAGCAGCUCUGCACAGCAUCAAAGAUCUUUCUGUGGGAGGUUGGUACCUCAGAAUAAUGGUCUAUUUUCUGGGGUCAUGGUUCUGUGAUUGCAUCUGUAAGCCAGGCAAGGAGCAGCAUGGAGGAGGAAAAAGUGUGGAACUGAGACAAUGUCACACAAAUCAAGACAGCGUUCAACUGCAGCGCAACAAAUGCAACAGCUACACAAGAAUCAGGUGGAACCAGUGUGGACUGUCUGAAAAAGGAGGACAUGAAUCCUCUGUGCAAAGUCCCACCAUUUGUCUCGAAACUCAAGAAGGCACAAAAAACUCCCUGGGAUUGGGUUACAGCAUUUCUACUGAAGCUGCUUGUCACUACGGAUAUGAUUUUAGGUUAAGGCACUGUGCUUCUAAUGGAAGAGUAAACCUAAUUGCAUUUGACACACGAGGAGCUAGGACUGGCUUGAAUAUACACUUCAUCCUCGUCAUUCUCUUCUCCACCAACAAGCUAACGCCAGAGAAGACAUAGUACUGACAGGACCCACACGAGUGUCUGCUGUCCUUUAACAUAGCACAUCACUUUUAUCUAUAUACACACUCAUACACCCAUGAGCUGAAACAGAGUUCAUUUCAUACAUCAUCAGUCAGACGUUCAGGGGACAAAGACACAGUGACAAGGACCCCAGAAACUCUGACUGCUCACUUAACCUACUUCAAUUUUACAUGUCAGCUUGUGAGAAUAAGUAUCCAGAUUUUGAUAAUCAUUGCAUAUAAAAUUCCUUGUUACAUUGUGUAUGUAUGCUCUUAGUUUUAGUGUCAUUGAGUGUUUUGUUUGGACAAGUGACUUUUGUAAAAAUCUGAAAGUCACAAUUGCAAAAUGUUUGGAAUGAAAAUGAUUCUGGUGGAAACUGUUCAUUUUUUAUAAAAGGUUUAUAGAGGGUUCAGAUAAGUACCUCCAUGGCCAUGUCUUCAGAAUGCUGGAUGAACGAGUUGCUUCACUGAGUUCCAAAACAGCAAAGAAGAUGAAUCAAAACUGUUCAUAUUUCAGUUAUCUGUGAUGUAUAAAUAACAUACCUUAGGAUGCUCUCUCUUUGCAUUUCCCCCCUUCCACCGUAACCUUAAACACAAUAUGCUGAAUACACAGAUUUUAUGUAACCUUAAAAGAAAACUAAGAAUUAGGGUAAAAUAAAAUCCAUAAAUAAAACUUAGGGUUUAUGUGUGAAGCUGAUCUCACCAAAGUAAAUGCUGAGAUUAGGGAUGUGGUGACGUUACUAAAAACAAUAUACUGAAUGAAGACAUACAAAACUUAUCUGAAGGGAAUUAGAAAGAUAGACUUGAAAAUAUCUAUUGCACAUCAUGCAACAACUUUGCGGAUUAACUUCAACCUGCCAUAUUUGCUUUAGUAAUUCCUUUAUUAUUGUACCUUCAGAUGAAGUAGUAGUUACUCUCGCAAACAGAUUUAAUCUAUGAUCAUCUAACAGCUUCUGCUUCCUGCUCCUUUAAUUUAUUUUUAGUGUUUCCACAUUCUGAGAUCAAUCAGUUCAGUGUGAUACAGCUACACAGCUCAAACUUAAACAACUUGAAAUAAAGCCAUAAAGCCUCAAAAAGCCCACUGAAGAGGUGAAAACCAGCCCAAACAUCCUUUAAAACAACCCCGCCUUCAAUAUCUGAAUCUCUAUUUGGUCCUCGCUAAAACAGAAAUAAAGAGCCCACACACACAUACACACACUAGAUACUAGUCUUCAUAAGCUUAAUUCUACCCCAUCUUUCAACACACAUCAGGAGGUUCAACUGUCAGCAUCCUGAGAUCGAUGUGACUUGCACAUUUACUUCCUGUCACAUCUAAUAACAGUACAGUGGGGUUUGUUGAGCUAGAUCCAUUUUAAGUGUGCAUGAAAGCACAGUAUAAGCCAGCCUUGGUUUGCCAGACAUCUGCUGCCAGACUGGAACAGUCCAAUUCACAGCAGAAACACAUUUGGAUAUACUUUGAAAUACCUAAAAGUAUUGACGAUAUUAUUGGAUCACUUUGUGCUGCCUCUAAAUUGUCAGGUGGUGUUGGCAAACUAACAAAAUAAACAAGCAACUGCUUAGCUCAGGUUUCUAAUAAAGCUUUCUAAUAAAGCUCCCUUUAUAAAGAGCUUGUAAGAUGUAACUAAUGGCUGUAUUAAUAAAUACCAUAAAUCUGAAUAAUUGACCUGUGCUUUACAGAUCAUUUAGAAACCAUUAAUAAGAACAACUUUUGUGCUGUCAAAAAGAUUUUUAUACAAGAUUUAGAAGUUGUAACUUAUUAAUGGUCUAUAAAUCAUUUGCUCUGAUUUACUAAUGUUAUAUGCCUUAUUAGAAAACCCAUACAACUGCAUUAUUAGCUGAGAGAAUGAAUACAUGUUAAAGUUCCUAGAAAAGGUUUCUCAUUGAUCUGUAAAGAAAAUAUUUAUUACCCAUAGCUAAAGCAAUUGGUUACUAUUUAUGAACCUUUUUUUAAAGGGCGGCUUUUUCGAAAGUGGCAGACUACCAAUUUUACCAGUGUGGGUUUUCAAAGUCCAGAGGUAAAAUGAUAUUUUUAGACUGAAACAACCGAAAGGCAUUUAUUUUGUACCAAUAUUAAAUCUUUUUAACUUAAUAUUAAAAUCUUAGUAUAUAUUUAAAAAAAACUCAACUUAUCAAUUCUUAGGCAGUAUAUUAAGCCUAACUCAUGACUAAAGAUACCUGGGCUAUACUAAAUGUUACUGUGUAUUCUGCAUGCAGUUCAGGUUUUCAGUUGAGACCAGUUUUAACAUGACAGACUCACUGCCAAACUAACCAAUAAGAGGGGAGUGCCUAGAGGGCAAGUCCUGGCCAUCUGCUGUGCCAACACACACACAUUCACACACACACACAGAGUUGUGUUUCUAUCACUUUUGGGGACAUUACAUAGACUUAAAUUAACUUCCUGGAGGCAGUUUGCAAUUUUUUUUAUUGUGAAGCACUUUGUAACUGUGAGUUUUGAAAAGUGCUAUAUAAAUAAAGUUAUUAUUAUUAUUAUUAACCACCAUCUCACCACAACAAUAAACAUUAUUUACCUUAUCCUCACCCUAACCUCAACUAACCUUAAAGCAAGUCUUCACCCUAAUAUUUAAUGAUUUAUACAUUAUGGGGACUUGUGUUUUGUGCCCAUAAGGGCCUCACAGUGUGACUGUGUAAACAGAUAUUUCUCCACACACGCACACACACACACACACACACACACAAACACGUGCAGCGAGAGAGAGGGAGAUUUUUAACAAUGCAACCCAAAUAUCUCAAAACACAGAGAUUUAUGAUUUAUUUGAUUUAAAGCCUCUUUAUGGUAUUUUGUUUAAUCAUUUUAGAAAUAAGCUAACAUGUACACACGCAGUUUGUUAUGGAAAUAGUCUUCAACGCCGGAGGAAAUACAGGUGCAUCAGAAUACACCUGGGAGUCCCAGGCACUGCCCCCAGCAUGGAUUGUUAACACAAAACACUGAAAACAAGAAAACAUUGUUCAGAGACAGGCAGAUGUUGGUUCUGAGUUGGACCGCGUUAUGUCCAGCCAAAGCAAAGAGGAAUCCUCAUGUUUUUUCAUGAUGCAUGAGCUGAAUUGAUUUUGAGCCUGAGAGGGCACAUUGGACACAGACUGCCUGUUUGAGACCAGGCAGGAGGAAAUAAUGUGGACAAGAUAAUCCCUGAGACAUUUUAAUGCUAUUUGAGACAAACAAAGCUGAAGAAUACUGAAUUAUUGUAGAUCUGAGGAGGGGGAAAUCAGUCUUUGGUAAGAAAAAAACUGAUUUGCAUAGAAAGGCUGAAAUAUUACACGAUUUUGUGUAUAACAGAUUCCAGUUUUACUGUAUUUUCUGCAAUAGCUGCAGCACAUACUAGCUGUUUCAUAUUACAGGGCCAUGGUUCAUGUGUUAAAGCCCUAAGAAAUGAUCUUUUAACCAAAAUUUUGUGGCACACACUGAUUUACCAUACCGAGAAGGUAGCUGCUAUAGCACUAAUCAAGGAAGCUGUAUCACAGUGUCAGAUGUACUGGAGGACCCCGCCCCCGAUAAUAUGUGAUGAAUUUAUUUUGGUGAUGGAAAAAAAAAGAAUUGUGU